GAUGAACGCUGGCGGCGUGCCUAAUGCAUGCAAGUCGAGCGAACAGAUGAGGAGCUUGUUCCUCUCUCGUUAGCGGCGCACGGGUGAGUAACACGUGGAAAACCUUCCUAUAAGACUGGGAUAAUUCCGGGAAACCGGAGCUAAUACCGGAUAAUAUAUUGAACCGCAGGGUUCAAUAGUGAAAGACGGUUUUGCUGUCACUUAUAGCUGGAUCCGCGCCGCAUUAGCUAGUUGGUAAGGUAACGGCUUACCAAGGAAACGAUGCGUAGCCGACCUGUGAGGCUGGUCGGCCACCCUGGAGCUGAGACGCGGUCCAUACUCCUACGGGAGGCCGCAGUAGGGUAUCGUGCGCAUUGGGCGAGAGCCUGGCGGAACAACGGCGCGUGGGUGAGGAAGGCCUUCGGACCGGAAAUCUCUCCUAUUAGGGAAGAACAGAUGUCUAAGGAGCGAUGCACUCCUUGACGGUACCUAGUCAGAAAGCCACGGCUAACUACGUG
rnacentral:rRNA from 1 species